rnacentral:rRNA from 1 species
AGAGUUUGAUCAUGGCUCAGGAUGAACGCUAGCUACAGGCUUAACACAUGCAAGUCGAGGGGCAGCAUUUCAGUUUGCUUGCAAACUGGAGAUGGCGACCGGCGCACGGGUGAGUAACACGUAUCCAACCUGCCGAUAACUCGGGGAUAGCCUUUCGAAAGAAAGAUUAAUACCCGAUGGUAUAAUUAGACCGCAUGGUCUUGUUAUUAAAGAAUUUCGGUUAUCGAUGGGGAUGCGUUCCAUUAGGCAGUUGGUGAGGUAACGGCUCACCAAACCUUCGAUGGAUAGGGGUUCUGAGAGGAAGGUCCCCCACAUUGGAACUGAGACACGGUCCAAACUCCUACGGGAGGCAGCA